rnacentral:rRNA from 1 species
AGAACGCAGCAAACUGUGCGUCAUCGUGUGAACUUCAGGACACAUGAACAUCGACAUUUUGAACGCAUAUCGCAGUCCAUGCUGUUUUGUCCUUUAAUUAAUUUUAUAGUGCUGCUUGGACUACAUAUGGUUGAGGGUUG